rnacentral:rRNA from 1 species
GACAGAGGGUGCAAACGUUGUUCGGAAUUACUGGGCGUAAAGCGCGUGUAGGCGGCUUGGCAAGUCGGGUGUGAAAGCCCUGGGCUCAACCUAGGAAGUGCACUCGAAACUGCCUCGCUUGAGUGUCGGAGAGGAAAGCGGAAUUCUCGGUGUAGAGGUGAAAUUCGUAGAUAUCGAGAGGAACACCGGUGGCGAAGGCGGCUUUCUGGACGAUAACUGACGCUGAGACGCGAAAGCGUGGGGAGCAAACAGG